GAUGAACGCUGGCGGCGUGCCUAAUACAUGCAAGUCGAGCGAACAGACGAGGAGCUUGCUCCUCUGACGUUAGCGGCGGACGGGUGAGUAACACGUGGAUAACCUACCUAUAAGACUGUGAUAACUUCGGGAAACCGUAGCUAAUACCGGAUAAUAUAUUGAACCGCAUGGUUCAAUAGUUAAAGACGGUUUUGCUGUCACUUAUAGAUGGCUCCGCGCCGCAUUAGCUAGUUGGUAAGGUAACGGCUUACCAAGGCAACGAUGCGUAGCCGACCUGAGAGGGUGAUCGGCCACACUGGAACUGAGACACGGUCCAGACUCCUGCGGGAGGCAGCAGUAGGGAAUCUUCCGCGAUGGGCGAAAGCCUGACGGAGCAACGCCGCGUGAGUGAUGAAGGUCUUCGGAUCGUAAAACUCUGUUAUUAGGGGAGAACAAAUGUGUAAGUACCUGUGCACGUAUUGACGGUACCUAGACAGAAAGCCACGGCUAACUACGUG
rnacentral:rRNA from 1 species